GAUGAACGCUGGCGGCGUGCCUAAUACAUGCAAGUCGAGCGAACAGACGAGGAGCUUGCUCCUCUGACGUUAGCGGCGGACGGGUGAGUAACACGUGGAUAACCUACCUAUAAGACUGGGAUAACUUCGGGAAACCGGAGCUAAUACCGGAUAAUAUAUUGAACCGCAUGGUUCAAUAGUGAAAGACGGUUUUGCUGUCACUUCUAGAUGGAUCCGCGCCGCAUUAGCUGGUUGGUAAGGUAACGGCUUACCAAGGCAACGAUGCGUAGCCGACCUGAGAGGGUGAUCGGCCACACUGGAACUGAGACACGGUCCAGACUCCUACGGGAGGCAGCAGUAGGGAAUCUUCCGCAAUGGGCGAAAGCCUGACGGAGCAACGCCGCGUGAAUGAUGAAGGUCUUCGGAUCGUAAAACUCUGUUAUUAGGGAAGAACAAAUGUGUAAGUAACUAUGCACGUCUUGACGGUACCUAAUCAGAAAGCCACGGCUAACUACGUG
rnacentral:rRNA from 1 species